UGAAGCUUAGGGCGGGGGAGUACUGGGAAAUGCCCAAGGACAUAAGGUAUAAACUGGGAAUGCUGGGAUUUGGAAGCUUGUUUCAGAAGUCUAGGGAGAAAUCUGAGAGUCCAAGUGGUAAAGAGAAAGUGUGAACUUACAAACAGUGGCCCGUGUGCAGAAACAGUUGUCCAGUCAAAGCUUCCUGAAUGUCACACCGCCAUUCAGUCAUCCCUGAAGAGGCCCACUACAUCCAACUCUAAGUACAGACCAUGUGACUAUCAGAAAUACGUAAAGAAAUACUAUGAAUGUAAAA
rnacentral:lncRNA from 1 species